rnacentral:rRNA from 1 species
CCUACGGGUGGCUGCAGUGAGGAAUAUUGGUCAAUGGGCGCGAGCCUGAACCAGCCAAGUCGCGUGAGGGAAGACGGUCCUAUGGGUUGUAAACCUCUUUUGUCGGGGAGCAAAAGCCGCCACGCGUGGCGUUCCGAGAGUACCCGAAGAAAAAGCAUCGGCUAACUCCGUGCCAGCAGCCGCGGUAAUACGGAGGAUGCGAGCGUUAUCCGGAUUUAUUGGGUUUAAAGGGUGCGCAGGCGGACGAUCAAGUCAGCGGUAAAAUUGAGAGGCUCAACCCCUUCGAGCCGUUGAAACUGGUUGUCUUGAGUGAGCGAGAAGUAUGCGGAAUGCGUGGUGUAGCGGUGAAAUGCAUAGAUAUCACGCAGAACUCCGAUUGCGAAGGCAGCAUACCGGCGCGCAACUGACGCUGAUGCACGAAAGUGUGGGGAUCGAACAGGAUUAGAUACCCUUGUAGUC